rnacentral:lncRNA from 1 species
UGUUUGUCUUGUUAAAAUGGUUUUAAGGUGACUUUUGGAACCCCUAAGUACCCUAGGAUAUUAGCCCUCUUUUAAGAGGUGAAAAAUUGAGUUUUGGUGAAUGAAAACAUCCAUGGGGCUAUUAUGAGUUUUCAUGGUGUUCUUCAUUGUUCUUGGUGUUCUUGCCAAGAACAUAAAGUUUUGAAGUUUUGAUUCAAAAGUUUUAUGUUUUUCAUAAAGUUUUGGUAUAUUAUUGAUUUAUUAUUGAUGGGUGAUGUUUAUUGGUGAAGUAUUAUUGUUGGUUUUAAUGUUAGACAAAAAUCUCUUACAAACCUAUCCAAAUCAACUUUACCUCACCCACCAAAAUCAACUUGCAAAAACUUUUUAGAAUUUUUUCAAUUUUUCAUUAAAUGGCCGGCCACCCCUAGUGGGGGUACUUUUGGGGCCUUUUGUGCAAUUACAUAAAGUUUUAGAUAUUUUUGUGUAUUUGCAUUUUGGCCCAAAAGUUUACGUUUUUACGUUAAGGCCCUAAAACUCUAAAGGACAAAUUGUUUUGAUCCUUUAAUGAUGUUUUUACAUUAUUAAAAUUUUGGGAUCUAGUUGUAAUUACAUGAAGUUGUGGACUAUUGUGUCUUUACAAAGUGACCCCAAAAGUUUUUGUAUUUGCAUUAUGGCCCAAUUGUUGUGGUCAUAGUUUCCUAUUGGCCCAAAAGGAUGAGAACAAAAUUGUUUUGUCUCUUUAAUGAGAAUUGGAUUUUCAUUUCAUUUAGUUCCAU